rnacentral:lncRNA from 1 species
CUUUCGGGAGCAUUCUUGCUCCUCCGAGUAAAAAAACCUUUCCCAACUGGAGGUGAGUUUGCACUUCCCAUAGUUGGGUGAGAUGUAAAUAUCCCUUAUUUUGUUUAUUUUUUACAGUAAUGCUUAUGGUGGAGAGUUUUUUAUUAGGCUGCUUGUGUUUCUUUCUUUGUGCUGUUUGUUUUUUUUUUCUUCUUUUCAGGUUUGUCAGGUCUCAAUCUUUGGCGCUCCAAUGGUAUUCUUCCAGCGAGUUGAGGCAGUGGCUCAGCUUUUCUGUUGGGUUGCAUGUUGCUUCCGUUUUCUCCUAAUUUGGAUGAUGGUCUCCUCAUUUCUUUUCAUCGGUUCCUUUCUAGUUUUUGUAUAAAUCGGUUUGUAAAGUGCUUUCGAUUGUUUGCCUCUUCUCCUACCUUUUGAUGAGUUGCAUCUUAUCUCUCUUGACCAUAAGUACAAUGAUUGUCUCAAUUGGGAGAUUGAAUCAUCAUUUCUCUGCAAUGGCUCC